rnacentral:rRNA from 1 species
UGGGGGAUAUUGCACAAUGGGGGAAACCCUGAUGCAGCGACGCCGCGUGAGGGAAGAAGGUUUUCGGAUUGUAAACCUCUGUCUUUGGGGACGAAACAAAUGACGGUACCCAAGGAGGAAGCCACGGCUAACUACGUGCCAGCAGCCGCGGUAAUACGUAGGUGGCAAGCGUUGUCCGGAAUUACUGGGUGUAAAGGGAGUGUAGGCGGGUGCACAAGUAAAAUGUUAAAGCUAUGGGCUCAACCCAUAGAUGCGUUUUAAACUGUGCGUCUUGAGUGCAGUAGAGGCAGGCGGAAUUCCUAGUGUAGCGGUAAAAUGCGUAGAUAUUAGGAGGAACACCAGUGGCGAAGGCGGCCUGCUGGGCUGUAACUGACGCUGAGGCUCGAAAGUGUGGGGAGCAAACA